rnacentral:tmRNA from 1 species
GGGGGCGACCUGGCUUCGACGGCGGUUGCAAAGCAAUGUGGUGCAUGCCGAGGACCAGUGACCUCGUAAAUCCAUCUGGAAAAAACUUAGUUGCCAACGACGACAACUUCGCUCUGGCCGCUUGACGGCUAGACCCUGCCCCCAUUGGUCUCUGGGUGGGAUUCCAGGAAACUGGAUCGCAGGGUCAUUUACAGAGACUCGUGACCUGAUGGGGCUUCUUCAUCGGUCAUUAAAUCCAAGGAAGCUCGUCCCAAAGCAGUUCGUCGGUUGACGGCGGCGGGAUCAAAUCCAAAGAGCCUGACUAUGUAUGUAGAGCCACUUGUAGAGGACUGACGGACGCGGGUUCGAUUCCCGCCGCCUCCACCA